UAAAUCAUGUGUUUUGUUUUAGACUUGUUCUUGGUUAACAAAUGAACGUUUGUUUGUUUGA
rnacentral:tRNA from 1 species